CAUGUCUUUUUGAUAAUAAUUUAAGGUUUGAUCUGCUCAAUGAUUAAUUAAAUUGCCGCAGUAUUUUGACUGUGCUAAGGUAGCAUAAUAAUUAGUUUUUUAAUUUGAAACUGGAAUGAAUGAUUGGACAAGAAAAUUUCUGUCUCUUUUUAAUGUAUAUUUUUAAUUUUAUCUUUAAGUGAAAAAGCUUAAGUGGUUUUAAAAGACGAGAAGACCCUAUAGAGUUUAAUAUUUAAAUUUUAAAUUUUAUUUAGUAAUUUUUUUUUAUUUAUUUAUUUGGUUGGGGUGACUUAAAGAUUAAAUUAAUUCUUUAAAUUUUAUAUUGAUGAUGAUUAAUUUUAAAAUUUAAUUUUUUUAGAUUAAAAAUAAAUUACCUUAGGGAUAACAGCGUAAUUUUUUUUAAAAGUUCUCAUUUUAAAUAAAGUUUGCGACCUCGAUGUUGGAUUAAAAUUAAUUGUUGGUGCAGUAACUAAUAAAUUAGGUCUGUUCGACCUUUAAAAUU
rnacentral:rRNA from 1 species